GUCUGAGCAGGGAGAUGGGGCUACACAUUUGGGAAGAGAGUUUCCUCCAUAUCUUGAUCUCUAACAAGGUGUUGGGGGAACUACAGGGAGGUGAAUUUUCCUGAAAGGCAGUUUGGGCCUUUCCCUGAGCAGGGCAGUUCUGCAGAUCCCAGCAUUCACCCUAAGAGUUCCCUACAGCCUUUUUAUCCUUUGUAAUGUCUGGAAGAGAGUACUGCUGUGUUGUGUAAAUGGAGCACUGAGCCCAAGUGGAACCUCCUUGAAGACAAACAAUAAUGAAGUUGUUGCCAGAAAUGCUUCCAGCUGUCUCUAGUAGAGCAGUUCCACAUCCAAUUUUUCUGAUGUGCAGGGAUUUGGCAUGCAGAGCUACAAGUCAUCUGGGACUUGGAUGUUACAAGGACAGUGUCCAAGGUUCAUGGGAACAGUUACACACAUUUUCUUUCUCUCUUAUUUUAAAGUCCUGAAACGAGGCUGAAGGCAGUCAGAUGAAUUUACAGAGGCUGGUGUAGUGUACAUCUAUGCUCAUGGCUCAUUUUCUCUUAAUUGUGGGAGAAAUCCCUUUUGGGUUCACUUUAUAGGAUUCACAAUUCUGUCUCAAUUUAAGAUCUGAAGAGAUGUCAGCAAUGAAACCACAGAAUGGAAAUGUCAUCACGCUGCCCAUCCAGAAUCAUUGCCCAGUACUGGACCCUGCAGGUUGCAUAGAAGUCAUGGAAUGAUAUUCCCAGCUUUGGAGGAAUUCAUCAAGAUUAUACUUGUCUGCAUUUUAACUAUUUUCUUUAGGGUCUUCCUGUCUCCUCUCCAUGUCCACACACACACACAUUCAGGUCAGUAACAAAUAGAUCCAUCCUUUUGUUACUCAAGCAAGCCAUGAGUUUAAGGAAUAAUUUAGUUAUACCUGCUUCUUCUUUUCACGAUUGUUCCACUAUUUGCUUCUACAAAUAGUUUUCUUAUUUUAACACACACAUGCUUUAAUGUACUGAAGCAUUUUGAAGACCAAAUAUGAAAAUGACCUGUACGCCCAAGUAAUUUCAUCACCAUGAGAUACCAUGGCAGUAGAAAAGCAUCAUCAACCACUCUUGGCAGUUCAUAUUUUUCUGGGCUUUAUCUGGUUUGUGGUGAAGUAAUUGCAAAUAUAUCCAUUAACACUAAGUAAACUGACACUCCAAAAUAUCCUCUGGGAGAUGCAAAUAUUACUUUUGGAAGGAAAAAUUAUAUAUUCAUUAUAUAAAAUGCCUCCAGUUGGCAAUGGAAGAAGAAAUGACAGAAGAAAUGACAGAAGUGCUAAUGAUUAACAUACUGGAAGAUGUCUGAUUCUUUAUGAUAUACAAUAAAAUCCCAGGAAAAAAAAAAAUGAAAAGAGACUGAGAACUAGCAUAUUUGAAUAGCAAACUGAAGAUAUAAACUAUGACACAUACCCAAGAUGCAGAAGUGUUUUAUGAAGCAUUAUGCUUUCUGUGUGGGUUUUAUUUAAUACCAAAUCUCAAAAUUCAGGCUAAAACAAUAGGUGUUUUGGGAGGUGUGAUUCUUUAUUGACUGAUAAUUCAUAGAAAAAUAUUAAUUUCCAGGCUCUUUUUUAGUGAGCAGACUUUAGCAACGUCCUUUGGCAUUACUAAGAAUCACUUCAGCUGUAGCCCUCCUAAAGCUCAGCCAAAAAAAUCAUUUGUUCAUUCUUUCAUUGAAAAUCAGUAAGACUUUUGUACCAAAAACUACAUGUAUAUUAGCAUGGAUGGUAACUUUAUUUUUUCACCUCACUUCAAAGUCUUUUGACACAGAGUCAAAAUGCUUAUUUUGAAAAUCUUGACACAAAGGCAUAUAGAAGAUUCAGUUCAAAUAUGCUAGUCAUACCUGUACUUUAAGUCCUAGAAAAAAUCCUGUCUUGAUGGAUUCCUCUUCUCAUAAAAUGUCUCCAACUUUCCAUCUUGCUGAACUACUCAAGUGAAUUAACUUUCACAUUGAUUAUGGGGCCUGGGCUGCUUCACUAUUCAACAAAACAGGCAUAUGAGAUCUCAUAAAUAUGGGUUUUCAUUGCAUUGUUUAUUUUCUGGUUUUGUCUGAAAGUCAUAAUUUUCCACACAAAAUUGUGAAAGAUGAAAUUAAAAAAAAAA